UUUAUCAGUCACUCAUAUCAUUAUGGAGGGUUGAGUCGGGUUGAGGUCUGGACUUUGACUGGGCUAUUGCAAAACCUUGAUUAGGUGCCAGUGCUCCCCUUGUUAUUCAUUGACAUGUGCCAGUGCUCCCCUUGUUAUUCAGCCUCAGGUGCCAGUGCUCUCAGCAGAUAUUGUGAGGUGCCGGUACUCUGAAGAGAAAAACAAAGAGGUGCUGGUACUGCAUACCUGGUGAAAUAUGGCCCAUAGUUAUGACAAAUGAUCAGUGGACGUCUCUGCCUGCAACUGCAAACUGCCUGUAGUCAGACUGAUACGCAAGACCUGGUUUCCUUACAGCCAUAAUUGUCUAAGCAAUGGCUCACCAAGAGACUCAGAACUCACUCGCCGACCUCUUGCUGGAUUAUCUGAAGGAGCUCGAUGAUGAUGAGCUGAAGAAGUUUAAAUGGAAACUGAAUCGCACGAAGUAUAAAGAGUUAAAGCCCCUUCCCAGGGGUCAGGUAAAGCACUUGGAUAGAACAGACCUCGCCGACAUGAUGAUAAGUUACUACAUGGAAGUUGGUGCUAUUGAAGUCACACUUGAAAUCCUGAAGAAUAUGACCCUGAAUGACCUUGCUGAGAGACUGAAUGAAGACCUGCA